GUAAAGAGGACUUCACAGACGACUUCUACCCCAGUUUCGAAGUCCACAAUCUUGACAGCCUCGACAAUUAAAAUUACUCCAGGCAUUACAAAGACUUCAAAACCGAAAACUACAC